rnacentral:misc_RNA from 1 species
CUGCGAGUUCGCGGGAGAGUAAGUUAUUGCCAGGGUUUUUAUUUUAUACUUUAAACAUUGAUUUUAUUUUUUAUGUUUUUAGAUUUUCAUGUUUUUAGAUUUUCAUGUUUUUAGAUUUUCAUGUUUUUAGAUUUUCAUGUUUUUUAAUGUUUUAUUUAAAUAAUAUAAAAAAUAAAAUAUAUAUAUUGACAUGGAUUAAACAAAGAUAUAUAUUAUUCUAUGUUGCAUAAACAAAUUGGCAAAAUAGAGAUGGAAGAUAAAAAUAUGGUCAAAG